GCUGUACAUCAUCAGCCACUGGCAGAACAAGCUUCUCACCCUGGCCAGGGAUGGCACACUCCUGGCUACAUACACGGGCACAGAUCUAAUGGGCCCAACUGGUCUACAUGUGACCCCUGGAGGCGAGGUGCUGGUCUGUGGACGCUAUCCCAACACUGUAAUACAGGUGGGCUGGAAGGGGCAGAGUUAUCCGGCCACUCUGUAUGCAGGGGAGAGCUUUGGAGAUAGUGACCCACGGUCAGUCUGUUACAGCAGCACCACAUCAUCCAUCAUUGUGGGACAGUACUGGAACAACAACAUCCUGGUGUUGAGAGUGGAAUAGUGUGUACAUUCGCAGCUGAGUCAGGACAACGAUGCUGAGGAUGUGGUGGACAAGAAUGACCUGAAUACGCAGAAGGACAGCACCACCAUUGAUAUCGAGUUGGCCCAGCAACAGCACCAGUCCGGCCUGCAGGAGCCCCAGUCCAGGUCGACCCAUCCACUCCCCUGACCCAUAACUCAUCAUACUUGAUAUCCGGAAAAAUGGGGCCUAAUGCAUGUGCUUAAAUUGUUGUCACAGAUAAGCCUGUGCAGAUUGCACAGGCUAAUAAUGGACAGCACUUUCCUCUUAAAGCAGAGCACCAGCAUUGAUAUCGAGUUGGCCCAGAAACCGCACCAGUCCCGCCUGCAGGAGCCCCAGUCCAGAACGACCCUUCCCCUCCCUUGACUUCUAACUACUCCUCCUUGACCUGCCUCAAAAAGUCAGCAUCGUUGAACAACUUCGUUCUGCAGGACAUUCUGAGCAUGAUUCUGUUCUGAACAAACGCAAUGCCCACGUCACGUUUUCUAAACAUAAGCCUGGAUAGUUUUGUUAAGCUGGAGUUCGGCGUGGGCCUGAAAGGGACGAGUGUUACAGACACAAACAGUUAUAGCAGUAGUUAUGGUAACGCUAACAGUCAGUUGUUGCUGUUGGACAUCACAUAAAAUAUCAUGAAGAAUAAAAAGUUCAAUAACUUGUUCCAAUCUUUAUGGGACAAACAGAAAUUGAACGGGAGAAAAUCAAGGAACAAUAAAAGCGUAAGCUUUCCUAGUGGGAUACUUCUGCUGUUGAUAGUUUGAACAACAGUAGGGUAACGGACUGCCCCAGUUUGUCCUCUCAGCGGCCAAAAUAUCAUAAUAGAAUGGACUUUUGGCAAUGUUACUGACAAAGAAAGGCAAUAAUGACUUGGUUGUGAAUACCCAGAGUACGAUACAUGCAUGCUGACAAAGAAAGGCGAUAAUGACUUGGAUGUGAACACCCAGAGCACGAUACAUCCGUGCUGACACAGAAAGGAAGUAAUGGCUUGGUUGUGAACACCCAGAGCAAGAUAUAUCCAUGCUGACACAGAAAGGCAGUAAUGACUAUGCUGUGAACACCCAGAGCACGCUGCAUCCAUGCUGACACAGAAAGGCAGUAAUGACUUGGUUGUGAACACCCAGAGCAAUAUAUAUCCAUGCUGACACAAAAAGGCAGUAAUGACUAUGCUGUGAACACCCAGAGCAAGAUUUUUCCAUGCUGACAUAGAAAGGCAGUUUGACUAUGCUGUAAACACCCAGAGCACAAUACAUCCAUGCUGACACUGAAAAGCAGUAAUGACUUGUUUGACACAUAAAAGCAGUAAUUACUUGUUUGUGAACACCCAGAGCAAGAUAUAUCCAUGCUGACACAGAAAGGAAGUAAUGCCUAUGCUAUGAACACCCAGAGCAAGAUAUUACCAUGCUGACAAAGAAAGGAAGUAAUGACUAUGCUGUGAACACCCAGAGCACAAUACAGCCAUCGUGACACAGUAAGGCAGUAAUGACUUGGUUGUAAACACCCAGCGCAAGAUAUAUCCAUGCUAACACAGAAAGGCAGUAAUGACUAUGUUGUGAACACCCAGAGCAAGAUAUAUCCAUGCUGACACAGAAAGGCAGUAAUGACUUGGUUGUGAAUACCCAGAGCGCGAUACAUCCAUGCUGACACAGAAAGGAAGUAAUGACUUGGUUGUGAACACCCAGAGCAAGAUAUAUCCAUGCUGACACAGAAAGGCAGUAAUGACUAUGCUGUGAAAUCCUAGAACAAGAUAUUUCCAUGCUGACACGGAAAGGCAGUAUGAAUAUGCUGUGAACACCCAGAGCACAAUACAUCCAUUCUGACACAGAAAGGCAGUAAUGAAUUGGUUGUGAACACCCAGAGCAAGAUAUAUACAUGCUGACACAGAAAGGAAGUAAUGACUAUGCUGUGAACACCCAGAGCAAAAUAUAUCCAUGCUGACACAGAAAGGCAGUAAUAACUUGGCUGUGAACACAUAGCACAAUACAUCCAUGCUUCAACAGAAAGGCAGUCAUGACUAUGCUGUGAACACCCAGAGCACGAUAUAUCCAUGCUGACGCAGAAAGGCAGCAAUGACUAUGCAGUGAACACCCAGAGCAAGAUAUAUCCAUACUGACACAGAAAGGCAGUAAUGACUAUGCAGUGAACACCCAGAGCAAGAUAUAUCCAUGCUGACACAGAAAGGCAGUAAUGACUUGACUGUAGACACAGAGUACAAUACAUCCAUGCUGACACAGAAAGGCAGUAUUGACUUGGUUGUGAACACCCAGAGCAAGAUAUAUCCAUGCUGACACAGAAAGGCAGUAAUGACUAUGCAGUGAACACCCAGAGCACGAUAUAUUCAUGCUGACACAGAAAGGCAGUAAUGACUAUGCAGUGAACACCCACAGCAAGAAUUAUCCAUGCUGACACAGAAAGGUACUUAUGACUAUGCUGUGAACACCCAGAGCACAAUACAUCCAUGCUGACACAGAAAGGCAGUAAUGACUAUGCAGUGAACACCCAUAGCAAGAAUUAUCCAUGCUGACACAGAAAGGCAGUAGUGACUAUGCUGUGAACACCCAGAGCAAGAUAUAUCCAUGCUGACACAGAAAGACACUAAUGACUAUGUUGUGAACAUAGGCAGUAAUGACUAUGAUGUUAACACCCAGAGCACAAUACAUCCAUGCUGACACAGAAAGGCAGUAAUGACUUGGUUGUGAACAACCAUAGCAAGAUAUACCCAUGCUGACACAGAAAGGCAGUAAUGACUUGGCUGUGAACACAGAACUUAAUACACCCAUGCUGACACAGAAAGGCAGUAAUGACUUGGCUGUGAACAAACAACACGAUACACCCAUGCUGACACAGAAAGGCAGUAAUGACUUGGCUGUGAACACAGAGCUUAAUACAUCUAUGCUGACACAGAAAGGCAGUAAUGACUUUGCUGUAAACACAGAGCACAAUACAUCCAUGCUGACACAGAAAAGCAGUUAUGACUUGGUUGUCAACACAGAUCACAAUACAUCCUUGUUGACACAGAAAGGCAGUAAUGGCUUUGCUGUGAACUCAGAGCAUGAUACAUCCCUGCUGACACAGAAAGGCAGUAAUGACUUUGCUGUGAACUCAGAGCACCAGACAUCCAUGCUGACACAGAAAGGCAGUAAUGACUUGGAUGUAAACACCCAGAGCACAAUACAUCCAUGCUGACACAGAAAGGCAGUAAAGACUUGGUUGUAAACACCCAGAGCACAAUACAUUCAUGCUGACACAGAAAGGCAGUAAAGACUUUGUUGUAAACACUAAGAGGUCCAUACAUCCAUGGGGUGUGCCACAGACGCAAAUUACGCCCACUAUUGUGAACAAGUGAACUUAACUAGCAAACAUGACAAACGUCAUUGAAGUGAAAGUCGAUGACAACCCCCUUCUUGCACAAAUACUACAACUCGCUUAAGAAAUUCAGCAUGAAGACGUCUUGCGUCAGACUACCAAGCCUCCUAUCAAUAUCUCCUCCCAUGUUGGCUACAUCAACACUUCCAACAGCAGAGCCUUGGUGAGUUCGACUUCCGUCUCAGUAUUGAUGUCACCAAGCAACAAUUUGAUGAUGGGCGUCGACAAAUUAGGCCGGACAAGUCGCUCGAACUGAAACGAUCUAAUCCAACAGGUAGAGCAGGCAUUGCGUGACACGUCCGUUAAUGUGACUGACCUCGAUAUGUUGUUCUCGAAUAAUGUGAACCUUAGGCCUGGAGAGCAGUAUGCGAUUGACCCCAUUCAACAAAAGUUGUUGUUCUUAAUUCUCGGGUUUGCUGUGGCGACUUUGGCGUCGGGACUCACUCCAUCUCUGUCUAUGGCCCAGUUGCAGCAGCAGCAGCAGCAGCAACAAGAACAAUAAAGCCGGUUCCUACAGGAUCACAUGCAGUCAUAGAUCGGUACCCAGCUGAACAACAGGCUGUCUGGUAAGCUGGGCCCGGAUAGGUGCAGCCAGUCUAAAGCUGGGGUUCCAAACUUUCCUGCCAAGUGGGCUGAUAUUGCCUCUUCUACAAGGAACAUAUGUCAGUGAUGCGCAAAGAGCUGGUUUUCUGUUCACAGAGAAAUAUCCUAACAACUCCAACUCAGCCACUACAUCUCAAUAGACAACCCGAAUAUCAAGGCGUUAAGUUUCUUCUGGAUGCAGUUUAUCACAGCUUUCAAGCCAGCAGCUGUCGAUGUAUUGAGAUUCUCUCCUUUCCAUGUUACCUGACCUGCUGCCUGUGAACAUCCUGCACAUAGAACCUUUAUCCCAAACGAUGUAAUUAAACCGGCCAUCAAAAGGACAACCUGGUACAGCACUUGUCAUUAGAUUGACGCCAUGCAUGCCUUUGAAGAUCAUUUAUACAUACACUUUAAGCAUGAUAGUCAAUAAGUGCUUGCGUUGGCUUCUUAAAAGACUGGCAAUCCUGAGCAUUUACGAUGGAAUUCCUCAUCUUGAAAUAUUGGGAAGGCAGGAAAACACCUGUCACUGUUAAGACAAAAAUGAGGAAAUGACAAAGCACAAUAAGACCAGCCAAGUCCUGUGAUCAGCCAAGUCCUGUGAUCAGACAAGUAUUGUGAUCAGCCAAGUCCUGUGAUUAGCCAAGUCCUGUGAUCAGCCAAGUCCUGUGAUCAGCCAAGUCCUGUGGCCAGACACGUCGUGUGGCCAGCCAAGUCCUGUGAUCAGCCAAGUCCUGUGAUCAGACAAGUCCUCUGAUCAGCCAAGUCCUGUGAUCAGACAAGUCAUGUGAUCAGACAAGUCCUGUGAUCAGCCAAGUCCUGUGAUCAGACAAGUCCUGUGAUCAGCCAAGUCCUGUGAUCAGCCAAGUCCUGUGAUCAGCCAAGUCCUGUGAUCAGCCAAGUCCUGUGAUCAGACAAGUCAUGUGAUAAGCCAAGUCUUGUGAUUUGCCAAGUCUUGUGAUCAGUCAAGUCCUGUUUCAAGCCAAGUCCUGUGACCAGCCAAGUCUUGUGACCAGCAAUGUCUGUAGAUCAGCCAAGCCCUGUGAUCAGCCAAGUCUUGUGAUUAGUCAAGUCCUGUUACAAUCCAAGUCCUGUGACCAGCCAAGUCUUGUGACCAGCCAAGUCUUUAGAUCAGCCAAGCCCUGUGAUCAGCCAAGUCUUGUGAUUAGUCAAGUCCUGUGGCCAGCGAAGUCUUGUGGUCAGCCAAGUCAUGUGAUCAGCCAAGUCUUAUGAUCAGUCAAGUCUUGUGGCCAACCAAGUCAAGUCAUCAUCCAAAUCAUGCAAUCAGCCGAGUCAUAUGACCAUCCAAGUUCAAGUCCUGUCAUCAGACAAGUCCUGUGAUAAGCCAAGUCCUGUGAUCAGCCAAGUCCUGUGAUCAGCCAAGUCCUGUGAUUAGCCAAGUCUUGUGAUCAGUCAAGUCCUGUUUCAAGCCAAGUCCUGUGACCAGCCAAGUCCUGUGAUCAACCAAAUUUUUUUGAUCAGUCAAGUCCUGUGACCAGCCAAGUCAUGUGAUCAGCAAAGUUGUAUGAUCAGCCAAGCCCUGUGACCAGCCAAGUCCUGUGACCAGCGAAGUCAUGUGACCAGUCAAGUCUUAGGAUCAGCUUAGUUCUUUGGCCAGCCAAGUCGUGCGACACGCCAAGUAUUUUUACCAGCCAUGUCCUAUGACCAGCAACUUUGUCUUGUGUGUACAGUCUGAUUGUAUGGGAAGAAAAAUCUUCAUUUUAUAUUGUAUGUGCAUAAUGAUACUGACAGUAGCUUGAUGAUUAAGUAUAUUGUUAUAUAUUGGUAAAUAGACCAAUAUGAUAAGGGGAAACUCAGUAAUAGCAGUAAUGUAAAGUAUUAUUUCAAGAGCAAAAUAAUGCAAGUACUACUAUUUUGUCUGUAUUCAGAAACUGACUCUAUAUAGCUUUAUCCUGAUUAUCGUAAACAGACAGACAAAAAUAUGUUACAAUUGUUUUUUAAACAUUGAUUUUAAGCCUUCACAAAGUUGUUUAAAUAAUGCUGAUACCUUGGACAAUAUUUAACUUAUUUAUUGUAUAAACAAGACAUGCUUAUUUUUAGUUUUUACCUAUAAAAUAGCAAUAUGUGCUAGGUAAUAUAAUUGAUCAGAACUAUAUCAUAAUUGUGAUGCUUCUAUUUUGAUAUGUCUGUCAUUCUGUCUGUGUACAUUUAUCAUCAGUUUGCUCUUUUGAGGCAGUAUUUUAUCAAGAAUUUCAUGUAUUGAUGUAAUAGUAAAAUAUCAAAUAAUAAUUUGAUUUAUUCAAACUACAUUAACCUUCUGUUAAUUAUCAAUUUAUUUAUUGACAACAGAUACUUUGUUUAAUAUUAACAAUAGUUAAGCGCGUUAUAAAAAUUGUGUAAAUGUACAUGCAUAAUAUUGCGAUAAUUAAUGCACACAUUAAUGGAAAAACUUUUUAAAUAAAGUAAAAUUUACAAGUGCAUCUUAAUUGUAAUGGAGUUUGUUUAAUUAUUAAAAAAGUAUGCUUUCAUUGUUGAAAAUAUGAUAGUAAUUCCUUUACAAGUAAUUUUGUUUCAAAGUGAGUAUUUUCAUGAAUAAUGAUCCUAGAUAUGGUUGUAAAUUGUUCUUGUUGUAUCAUAUACUGACAUGCUCAUUAUUUGUGUUGACAUUGGCAUUCAAGCAUUAAAAGUUCAUUAUGCUUUAACUAUUUGUAUGUACACAUUUGCGACCAGCUGUUCUAAUGUAAUAAGUGAAUAACGUAACACAGAUUUAUGUGUCACUGUAUAUACGUUUAUUUUGUCAUUUGUAAAUAGAUCAACUGCAAAGCUAAUGUUUUUGUUUGUACAUUAUUCAUAAAAUGUUGCCAUUUCAAACAGAUACAUUCACUGUUUGAAUUCAUUUGUACAAAAUUGUUUCAUAUUAAACAUCAUGUACAUAUCAGGCAAUAGAGAAAGAAUUGCUUUGGAUGAAUGAGCACAUUAACCUGUAUAGUUAAUUAAGACAUGCAGAAUAUCAGAUUAUUAACAUAAUAAUAUACUUUAAGCAUUAGAAACACUUGUUUUAUGUCAAGCUUUUCAGUUAACAUAAUUAAGCAACUACUAUCUGGAAAUUUGGAAAACAGUGAAGAACGAUUCAAGGGAGAGCAACUGUGAUAUACUAAAUAAAAGUCGUCUCCCUUGUUAGAGUAUAAUUGUACCCCUGAACGUAACAAGAACAUUGAAUCUUUUUUUUUAUUAUUCCACACUAUAAACUAUAUACUAUAUUCAUUCAGCAAUCACUAAAGAAAUAUGGUUUACAUAAUUAAUUAUUUCUAUGCGUUAUACCAAAUUCUCCAGUUUGGCAUCAAUUAAAAUUCAUCAAUUUUAAUUGCCAAAAUUGGCCAUACAGUGCUUAAAGUCUGGUAUUCUGACAAUUAUAAGUGCAUGUUCUCAUACAAUAUCACAUUGUAUUUUUUCACACUGAGGCAAUAUGUGUUAAUAUAUUGAUUUUUAUUUAUUGACUUGUUGUUGCUUGUUAAGGUGUCUAAUUUUGAAUUAUAGCUGUUAAUUGAUUGUGACUUUUUUCCAGUUUUGAAUCGUUGCUUUUAGUUGAUUGUUUACAAGUUUUGUAAAAGCUGUUUUCAUGUUGACCGCUCCACAUUAAAUGUCGUUGACGCGCAUUCACUGCGGCCAGGUUCCGUAAAACUCCCAACUUAUCUGAUGUCUUAUGAUUGGAUUCCAUACACACGUGGUUGUUUAUACUCAGCUUGCUUUGCAUUAAACAUGUCUGCUUUAUUGUUAAACAAUUAUACACAGCUUUUUAUUGGACAAAUUUGUGUUAUAUUUCAAAUUUUUGCUUUCGCUUUUUUAUUUCCAACAAAAUACAUUUUGUUUUUUUGUAUGUAUGUUUAGCUAUAAUAAAAUUGUUUCUAUAAUAUAUAAACAAUCUAUUAUAAGCAUUAAACUAUAUUGGUAAAAGUAGAUUUAAGGUUCAAAAUCAUGUCUUAAUUUGUUCGAUUAUCCCAAAUGAACAUUUUGCAAAAACAAAACUUGUUGAAUAAGAAAAACUUUAUGCAACGUACCACCAGGUCUUUUAACCAUUGAUUGUGUAUCACUAAUGAUCAGGACUUAAUCAGGGAUUAAUAAUUGCCUAUGCACGGUUAUAAUGUUUGUGUUAUUGAAUUGAAUCAUUUUUGUAGUUUGGUGCACAUUAAUUGUUGUUGUUUUUUAAAGACAUAGCACAUGUCAUAUAAUAUAGUAUCAUUGUAGUUUUGGUAUGUUUAGGGAUAUAAUCAUGUUAAUGUAUGUGAUUUGCUGAUCAAUUUCUUGUUGUUUCACUCCAUUUAAUGUUUAUAGCCAUGCAUAGAGCAGGAAUAUUGUUGUACUGUAAAAAAAUGUUGUAAAAGCAAAUAAAAAAUGUAUGUUAA